CUCUUCUGUGAAUUGAGUAUUUUUCAACCCAAGAGAAGUGUUGAAAGCUUCUGCAUAAAUCCAGAGGUUUCAAUGCAUGGCAUUCUUGGGAGCCUUUUCUCUGAAGAGCUCAGGAGCACAUGCCACAAUUAAAAGGACGUCAUCUGAAGUUCAGUUAUGACCUUGCUGGGUCAAUGCUCUGUGAGCUGAAUUAUCAAGAUCUGCUGAGGACCUGAACAAGGGGAGAGCCAACUAGAGCACUUGGAAACAAGGUGAAAGAAAGAAGAAAAGAGAAGAAAAGAAAAGAAAAGAAAGGAAAAAGGAAAAGAAAAGAAAAAGAACAGAAAAAAGAGAGGAGAGUAAGCCAGCACCAUUUUGAAAAGGAA